GUAAAUAUAGUUUAACCAAAACAUUAGAUUGUGAAUCUAAUAAUAGAAGCCUGUAACUUCUUAUCUACC
rfam:Homo sapiens chromosome 2, GRCh38 reference primary assembly.